AUUGAACGCUGGCGGCAGGCCUAACACAUGCAAGUCGAACGAGUGGCGGACGGGUGAGUAAUGUCUGGGAAACUGCCUGAUGGAGGGGGAUAACUACUGGAAACGUGAGCUAAUACCGCAUACCAUCGGAGGUGCCCAUAUGGGCAUAGCUAGUAGGUGGGGUAAAGGCUCAACUAGGCGAGUAACCCUAGCUGGUCUGGGAGGAUGACCAGCCACACUGGAACGGAGACAAGGUCCCGACUCCUGCGGGAGGCAUGCGUGGGGUAUAUUGCACAAUGAGCGCAAGCCUGAUGCAGACAUGCCGCGUGUAUGAAGAAGGCCUUCGGGUUGUAAAGUACUUUCAGCGGGGAGGCGUUACCCGCAGAAGGAGCACCGGCUAAAUCCGUGCCAGCGACCGCGGUAAUAC
rnacentral:rRNA from 1 species